rnacentral:rRNA from 1 species
AGAGUUUGAUCCUGGCUCAGGAUGAACGCUGGCGGCGUGCCUAACACGUGCAAGUCGAGCGAAGCACUUUACUUUGAUUCUUCGGAUGAAGAGUUUUGUGACUGAGCGGCGGACGGGUGAGUAACGCGUGGGUAACCUGCCUCAUACAGGGGGAUAACAGUUAGAAAUGACUGCUAAUACCGCAUAAGACCACAGCACCGCAUGGUGCAGGGGUAAAAACUCCGGUGGUAUGAGAUGGACCCGCGUCUGAUUAGCUGGUUGGUAAGGUAACGGCUUACCAAGGCGACGAUCAGUAGCCGACCUGAGAGGGUGACCGGCCACAUUGGGACUGAGACACGGCCCAAACUCCUACGGGAGGCAGCAGUGGGGAAUAUUGCACAAUGGGGGAAACCCUGAUGCAGCGACGCCGCGUGAGCGAAGAAGUAUUUCGGUAUGUAAAGCUCUAUCAGCAGGGAAGAAACUGACGGUACCUGACUAAGAAGCACCGG